ensembl:lncRNA
GCGGCUUUGUUAUGGAUUAGGUGACUGUGGGCGCUGGGCUUUGUCUCUCCACACUGUCUUGACGACUGCAGCUUCCUUAGUCGGUCCCACCUCUGCCCCCUUCUGUCCACCUCCACCAGCCAGACCUGAUCCUGGCUCAGACGUCACCUCCUCAGAAGGGUCUCCUUGACCGCCCACCCUACGGGGGCCCCUUCAGGGUCACCCUGUUAAUUACGUGGCUGCAUUUUGAUUCCUUCGUAUUCUUUGUCGAUACUGACAUGAGCGUGCUUAUCUUUGUGCAGCAGCCCUUCAUUAUAGUGAAGCUUCAUGGGAGUGAAAACUCACCUGUGUUUGUGAAGCGCCCCCAGUGCAACCAAUAGUAGCAGGCCCCUAGGUGGCAGGCGGCAGAACCAGAUGUCCAAGUGGCCUGUAAAUGGCUUCCUCCCCCUUCACUGUGACCUCUUUUCAAGGUCGAGAAGGGCUUUCAGAAUGCUUGGGAUAAUCCCAGGCCAUGAUGGCUGCAGAAAGUCGAGGCGGAUUUUGUUUUGACAGCAUCUUUUAGCCUCAGCUUUCUUAGUCUGGUGAACUAAGUGCCAGGGGUCCCAGGUGAAUGAUGCCGGGGAUUCAGCCUCUCACUGAGGAGGCUCCCACCCAAAGGUCACCCCUGGGACAGCCCAAGCAGAAGGAAGCCUGGCGGGGCAACGCGCUGAUAGACGAGCUUUGUUCUUCAUCUUCUGUCUUCCCCUGCCUCCACUUCAUGCACCAGAGAGGCUCUGAGUGACGGCUCCUCAGGGGCAGUUUGACGAUGAGUCGGCUAGUGCCAGCACCUCUGUCUCUUUGGAAUUGCUUGAGGAGUUGCCUUUAGGGGCUUCAAGAGGGAAGGGGAAGAAGUUGGUAGGCUCAAGACUAGCAAGACCCAGGUCUCUGGUGAAGUGGCAACGCUCUGAAAGGAUUCCCAUGUGGGAUGCUGUGCUGCCUGGGCCCUGGACACCGGAGUUGCCAACAAUGACAAAGAGAUUGGCGCCCUCGAGCAAAGCAUGGUGGCCAUGGGCUUGGAGACACAGAGUAAGCGUGGGCACUCAGCAGCAACCAGGAAAGACAAAGGAACGGAGGUGUCUCCCAGGUGCUCUGGGUUGGCCCCAAACAUCAGAAGCUCAGUCUUGGGCUAGAGGAUAUGUGUGUGUGUGUGUGUGUGUGUGUGUGUGUGUGCGCGCGCGCGUGCAGCUAAUUAACGGUGGUCAAGGUUGAGUUUCCUGUUAACUUGGCAGGAUGGAGAUUUUUAAGGGUUGAAUUGUGUCCUCUCAAAAGAUAUUUUGAAGUCUAACCUGUAGUACUUCAGAAUGUGACCUUAUUUGGAAAUAAGGUCUUUAUAAAGGUAAGCAAGUUACAAUGAGGUCACUAGCUGCUGCUGCUAAGUUACUUCAGUCGUGUCCAAUUCUGUGUGACCCCACAGACGGCAGCCCACCAGNNNNNNNNNNCCCUGGGAUUCUCCAGGCAAGAACACUGGUGUGGGUUGCCAUUUCCUUCACCAAUGCAUGGAAGUGAAAAGUGAAAAUGAAGUCGAUCAGUCGCAUCCGACUCUUCGCAACCCCACCAGGCUCCGCCAUCCAUGGGAUUUUCCAGGCAAGAGUGGGGUGCUAUCG